GCAGUCGAGCGGACAGAUGGGAGCUUGCUCCCUGAUGUUAGCGGCGGACGGGUGAGUAACACGUGGGUAACCUGCCUGUAAGACUGGGAUAACUCCGGGAAACCGGGGCUAAUACCGGAUGGUUGUUUGAACCGCAUGGUUCAAACAUAAAAGGUGGCUUCGGCUACCACUUACAGAUGGACCCGCGGCGCAUUAGCUAGUUGGUGAGGUAACGGCUCACCAAGGCAACGAUGCGUAGCCGACCUGAGAGGGUGAUCGGCCACACUGGGACUGAGACACGGCCCAGACUCCUACGGGAGGCAGCAGUAGGGAAUCUUCCGCAAUGGACGAAAGUCUGACGGAGCAACGCCGCGUGAGUGAUGAAGGUUUUCGGAUCGUAAAGCUCUGUUGUUAGGGAAGAACAAGUACCGUUCGAAUAGGGCGGUACCUUGACGGUACCUAACCAGAAAGCCACGGCUAACUACGUGCCAGCAGCCGCGGUAAUACGUAGGUGGCAAGCGUUGUCCGGAAUUAUUGGGCGUAAAGGGCUCGCAGGCGGUUUCUUAAGUCUGAUGUGAAAGCCCCCGGCUCAACCGGGGAGGGUCAUUGGAAACUGGGGAACUUGAGUGCAGAAGAGGAGAGUGGAAUUCCACGUGUAGCGGUGAAAUGCGUAGAGAUGUGGAGGAACACCAGUGGCGAAGGCGACUCUCUGGUCUGUAACUGACGCUGAGGAGCGAAAGCGUGGAGAGCCAACAG
rnacentral:rRNA from 1 species